rnacentral:rRNA from 1 species
GUUGGUGAACCAGCGGAGGGAUCAUUUACUGAGUUUACGCUCUACAACCCUUUGUGAACAUACCUAUAACUGUUGCUUCGGCGGGUAGGGUCUCCGUGACCCUCCCGGCCUCCCGCCCCCGGGCGGGUCGGCGCCCGCCGGAGGAUAACCAAACUCUGAUUCAACGACGUUUCUUCUGAGUGGUACAAGCAAAUAAUCAAAACUUUUAACAACGGAUCUCUUGGUUCUGGCAUCGAUGAAGAACGCAGCGAAAUGCGAUAAGUAAUGUGAAUUGCAGAAUUCAGUGAAUCAUCGAAUCUUUGAACGCACAUUGCGCCCGCCAGCAUUCUGGCGGGCAUGCCUGUUCGAGCGUCAUUUCAACCCUCAAGCUCUGCUUGGUGUUGGGGCCCUACAGCUGAUGUAGGCCCUCAAAGGUAGUGGCGGACCCUCCCGGAGCCUCCUUUGCGUAGUAACUUUACGUCUCGCACUGGGAUCCGGAGGGACUCUUGCCGUAAAACCCCCAAUUUUCCAAAGGUUGACCUCGGAUCAGGUAGGAAUACCCGCUGAACUUAAGCAUAUC